rnacentral:misc_RNA from 1 species
GAUGGCAACUCGAGGAGUCUCUUGAAGUUCACUUCUAAUGAAAUUUGUAAUCCUAUUUAUACUGUACACCUGGAUAUAUCUUAGGAAUUUCAUUUUUUUUAUGCUUAUUUCUCUUCAGCUUGAGCUGUGAAAACAACUUUGUGCUUUAUUCUGUGUCAGUUGAUUGGCGAAUUGUGUAUUGUUGGAAAAUCGGUCAAAAUUCGCCAAUCAACU